UCACGAUAUCAAACAUUCAACAUAAAUAAACUUAAACUUAGUAAAAUCAUUACAUCAAAAUGCUACUAAUCCCAGGUACGUAGACCUUUAAACGUUUAUUACAUGAUAGUUUAAUAUUUACAAACAUAUAAACUAUUUAUCACAUCAACUUCCAACUAUUCUAUUACUUUUCCUUUUCCUUUGUCUUUUCCAGACCCUUCCACCCGAGUCUGCUCAGCUAAAAACAUUUAUAAUAAAACAAGUAAGAACAUUUAAUUGCUCAGCAAAUAAUAGCAUUCUUUAAGGCUCAACAAGAAAUAAAUAUUUUCUUUGAAGCAUGCUUUGACAGUGAAUCAAAACUGUAAAGUAAUAAAUCUUGAAUCAUUCACAUUUCUGGAAUAUCAUAACAAUAUUGAAUAACUGAAAGGUUUUAAGACCAUGAACAUAUUUUUCUUUUCUUGAAAAGGUUCAAUCAGAAAUUGAAUCUGCGAACCGUCUUAUCUUACGAGCACGUAGGGUGAUCAGCCCUUGAUGCCCUAUAUUGAUCAAUACUAUCUUAUACAGAACAAUUUUCAUGUUCUACAUCACCACUCCCAGAGUGCAAUAAAAAUAUCCCAUUUAAGGGUAUGUUCAUUCUCAGUUUUAAAUUCCAACUACAACAAUAUAGCUGGACAGCUUAAAUCAUGGCACAAUAAUAUUUCAACUUAAUAUAAAGAAAUUAAAAUAUUUUACAUCCGUGUCUGGCCAGAAGGAAUGGCUCAGACUUCUUUGCAACCUGCUCAUGCAUAUGAUAAUAUCUUACCCAAUCUUUUGAAGCUGAUUGGAAUAAAAAGAUUAUUCAAUCUUACAAUAUUCAUAAAUAAGGAAAGACAGUUCAAAAUUUAGAGAACAUGUCAACAUAUGAAUAAUCUCAGAAUACUUGCUCAAUAAAGAGUAAGAUUUAGAUACUUGCCUGUUUGUAGACUAUUUGUACAAUCUCAGCUUAACUUGUGUAUUCUUACAAAUCCUACACAAUUAUUUGCAUUUAUAAACAUAUUAGCCAAAUAAACAAGUCAUAUAGCUUGUAUGUUCACGUAUCACAUAGUCACGGUGAUCAUGUUUUGAGUUUAUAUUCUCAUACUUGAGAUAUGUAUUUACAUUUUUUAAAUAUCUCAUUCAUGUUCUUACAAUAGCCUUUUCUUUCCUUUGUAGGGUCUGACAUAAUUUCUGUUCAUGAUUUUAGUUCAUACUCCUUUUGCUUCUUUUCUCGUUUGCCAUAAGCAUACUUCACAAUCUUCUUUAUAACUUAGGUAUUCAAGGUGAAUACAUAAGGUAUUUCAUGAAUUAAGUAUGAUUGUUUAUCAUAAAGGUAGAACUUUAGUUUUCAAUUUGCUUUGAUUUUCUCUUAUCUUUACUUUUCUUGUCUUGCAGAUUCAUUUCAAGACGCUAUGGCUUAACCAUUCUUAUUUUUCUCCUAUGAUGUCAAAACAGCCCUUUAAGGCUUUAUUUCUUUUCAUUUGGCUUAAUAACUUCAAUAGUAUGUUCCCAUCUAUGCUAGCUUGGUUUUGGAGUUUACUAGUUCAUUUAUAUCACAUUUGAGUAUCUUAUAGAAUCAAUUAUAUCAACUAGUGUGUUAAAGCUAACAUAUUUUAACACUUUAAUCAAACAGUUCCCUCAAUGACCUUUUCUUUUAAAAAAAAAUCUAUCUUUUUCAUUAUUCAUCUAAUUAUAUUAGAUGAGUUUGUUAUAAAUCCUCCAUACUUGUUUAUUUGGGAAGUUAUAAACUUCUUAGUUAUAGUCAACUAUUAGCUAAAAUUUGAAUUUCAAAAGGACCCUUAACUCUUUGACACUGCCUAAAGCCAACUGCUGCUGCCAAUGGGCAGCAGCCCUUACUUCUUGGUUCCCAUUUUAGGAAAUUUUAAAUUCCUAUAUUUUAAAUCUACUCAUGCUAGAGUUUAGAACAUAUAAUAGAUGAGAUUUUUAUUUAUAAUUGAGAACUAUCAAAUAGGGUUCUAUAGUAAUAUAAGUGCAUUACCCAACAACUUUAGAAGAGCUCUCAAUCAAAACUUUUAAACUCACUGCUGCUGGUACAAGCUGCUGCCGCUGAGCAGCAGCUCUUUCUCUUGACCCCAUGCUUUGCUAUACCUUAAUACAUUAUUGUUAUCUAAAAGUACUAACUGCAGCCUUAAAAAAAAUAAGCAAACCAAUUUGCCAAAUUGGCCCUGCAGCGCAGCACAGCACAGCGCUGAGCUCUGGCUGCUGCUGCCUGCAGCAGGCCUGGCUUAGAGCAGCCACUCCCAGCCCCCUUUUGUGAUCCCAAAUUUCUUAUUACAUAAGUUCCUCAGUUCCAAUUCUCUUGUAUGGUGCAAAUAUUAUAGAAGACUAGAAAAAGAACAUUAGCCAUCUCCAUUUUUAAUCUCUUUGGACUGCACUAAACAGUACCCUGAGGUAACUUAACAUACGAAGUUUCAUUUUUUUAUUUUAACUUGAAAUUAAGUUUUCUUCUAAGUUGACACUCUCAAACACUCUAAUUAACAUCACAUAGGUUAUAUAAUCCAAGCCCAAGUUUCGUUUUGUCUAACAUUCAGUUUUUAGCCAAAACUGUUCAUUUAGAGCUUUUAUCAAACAUGUGGGGUGCACAGAUUGGUUUAAAUCAUAAACCUAUAUUAUUCUCCUUAUUACUCCACAGCCACUUAUCUCCGUGUGCCUAAAUUCAAUUCAUAGCAGUCAAUUACACAGCCAAAGCAUGAAGAUUCAAGCAAUUAAUAAAGUAAAUUUUUUUUUUUUUUUUAAACUAACUGUUCUGUUCUAAUGCUCAAUGCCCCAUCCUGCUUGAACAAUUAGAACAACAAUAAGCAACUAGUUGGUUUAUAUACCUUCUGAUCUUAACUCAUGCAAACCAAAAUAAUAAUACUUUCCAUACAUAUCCUAGUAGCCAUGAUCUCAUAAUUUUCAUUUCAGUUUGCGAAACCCCACUAGCUAACUCAUUAUACCAAAAUCUUUAUAUUACAAACAUAAUAUGAACAAAUUGUAAUACCUUUGUUUGCUUUGAAUUCUUGUUAACUGUUCCUAAACUUCACAGCCCAAGCGAAUAUCAGAGCUUCAAUUGUUAAUCUUUUCCUUCUGUUAGCCGAACAAUUUACUAGAGAUUUACAUGGAACAACUCAAUUGUGUUUAGGCAGAGAGGUGUCCAGGAAAUGGUCUUAGCAAAGAACAAAAUCGGAUGGGUAGAAAGAUAAACAGAGAAACCAUUUGAAAUCAUUGCUUUCAGAUGUAUUACCACCUAUUCUGUGCUGUAUAGCUUAACUGAGUAGGCUAGUCUAUGUAAACUGUAGAGGGACAGCUCCUACUUACCGAAAACUGACUCAGUUAAUUUCCCCCUAAUAAUGACAGCUCAUGCUGCUAAUUAGUUAACUGAUAAGUUUAACUUAAAGUAGCGUUUGGAUUAUCACAUGGGUAUAACUCAUUUCUUUUCCCUCUGCAUUUUACACAUCUUGUCCCCAUAUAUUGUUUACCAC
rnacentral:lncRNA from 1 species